rnacentral:rRNA from 1 species
AGCAGUCGCCGCGGUAAUACGAAGGGUGCAAGCGUUACUCGGAAUUACUGGGCGUAAAGCGUGUGUAGGUGGUUGUUUAAGUCUGUCGUGAAAGCCCUGGGCUCAACCUGGGAAUUGCGAUGGAUACUGGGCGACUAGAGUGCGGUAGAGGAUAGUGGAAUUUCCGGUGUAGCAGUGAAAUGCGUAGAGAUCGGAAGGAACAUCUGUGGCGAAGGCGACUAUCUGGGCCAACACUGACACUGAGACACGAAAGCGUGGGGAGCAAACAGGAUUAGAUACCCCAGUAGUCCCUGUCUCUUAUAC